GUGAGGAAUAUUGGUCAAUGGGCGCAAGCCUGAACCAGCCAUCCCGCGUGAAGGAAGACGGCCCUAUGGGUUGUAAACUUCUUUUCCAGUGGAAGAAAAUUCCGUACGUGUACGGAACUGCCGGUACUCUGGGAAUAAGCAUCGGCUAACUCCGUGCCAGCAGCCGCGGUAAUACGGAGGAUGCGAGCGUUAUCCGGAUUUAUUGGGUUUAAAGGGUGCGUAGGCGGAUUAAUAAGUCAGUGGUGAAAACCUGCAGCUUAACUGUAGAACUGCCAUUGAUACUGUUAGUCUUGAGUACGGUCAAGGUAGGCGGAAUGUGUAAUGUAGCGGUGAAAUGCUUAGAUAUUACACAGAACACCGAUUGCGAAGGCAGCUUACUGGGCCGCAACUGACGCUGAUGCACGAAAGCGUGGGGAGCGAACAGGAUUAGAUACCCCAGUAGUCC
rnacentral:rRNA from 1 species